rnacentral:rRNA from 1 species
CACGUAAGGGGCAAGCGUUGUUCGGAAUUACUGGGCGUAAAGCGUGCGCAGGCGGUUUUGUAAGUCAGAUGUGAAAUCCCCGAGCUCAACUUGGGAACUGCGUUUGAAACUACAAGACUAGAAUAUGUCAGAGGGGGGUAGAAUUCCACGUGUAGCAGUGAAAUGCGUAGAGAUGUGGAGGAAUACCAAUGGCGAAGGCAGCCCCCUGGGAUAAUAUUGACGCUCAUGCACGAAAGCGUGGGGAGCAAACAGG